UUUAUUUGUUUUGUCUUUCUCCUACUGCUAGAACAUAUACUACAUAAGAGCAGGUAUAUUUAUUAUUUUGUCUACUAUUGUGUUCUCAGCACCCUUAAACAGUGCAUGCAAUAAGUAUUUGAUAUGAUUUGGCACUGUGUUUAGUGAACUAUUGCAUAGAAUGGUGACUAUAAUAAACAAUAAUUAAUUUCCUAUUUUAAAGUUGUUAAGUAAGUCAAUUUUGAAUAUUUUUACCACAAGAUAGUAAGUAUGUGAGUUCUAGAUGUGUUCAUUAGCCUAAUUUAAUCAUUCCAUAUGGUAAACAUAUACCAAAACAUCACAUUUUGCCUCAUAUAUACACACAAUUAUUCUUCUUUAAUUAAAAAUAAGAUUUUAAAACUUAUUGUUUAUAGUUAUACAUUUGACCUUAUUGCUAAUAUUGUGCCUUCAACUAUAUCUAAAAU